rnacentral:rRNA from 1 species
GACGAACGCUGGCGGCGUGCUUAACACAUGCAAGUCGAGCGGUAAGGCCCUUUCGGGGGUACACGAGCGGCGAACGGGUGAGUAACACGUGGGUGACCUGCCCUCAGCUCUGGGAUAAGCCUGGGAAACCGGGUCUAAUACCGGAUAUGACUCCAUGACGCAUGUUGUGGGGUGGAAAGCCUUGUGCGGCUGAGGAUGGGCCCGCGGCCUAUCAGCUUGUUGGUGGGGUGAUGGCCUACCAA